UCAUGGAAUACCAGAGACCAAUGGAGAAGUGCAUGGUGUAGUAGUAGUAGUAGCAGCAGAAUGCAAUAUAUUACCACUGGAGAACUGCACAGGAAGAGCGGUGUGAAGUAUGUCUUCAGAGAUAUAUGAACAAAAUAGGAAGUGAAGUAAUCAAGUACCAAGAACAAGGAAUAACUGAUGGACAGCCCGUGUAGCUCCACAUCAGAUGGAGACAACACCACUGAAAGUUUAAAAGACAUCAUUCCCUGUUUAAAGGGAGCUUGCUGGUCUGAAGAUUGUGGGGAACCCUAGCCCAAAGAUUUCUCCAAACUGGGAACUAAAGAACUAGAUGUUUCAAAAGCAGACAGCAAUGACUGUGUCAGAACUAUAAACAUCAAGAGAAGGUAAAGAACGGUCACCAUGAAUAUCCUCAAAAUAUUUCCAAAAGGGAACUCUACCCAUGAAGUAGUAACUAAAAUAGUUAAUAUUCAAA